GCCAGUCUGGCUCAGUGGUAAGAGUGUCAGUCUAUUGACUGAAGGGUUGCAGGUUCGAUUCCAGUCAAGGGCA
rnacentral:tRNA from 1 species